CAGAAUAAAAAAAUUACACUCUGAUCUCUCUGGAUCCCAGACCUUGCCUUGUUGCCGGCCUCUCUGAGUCUGACUCUAAAUAAUGCAUCAGUCCGUGCCAUGAUGGCGUAGCAUCGAUUCUGCACAUCGGACAACUAGUAUGUGAAUGGAACCACAUGUCUAUACAACUUACAUGAAAAGAGUGUGAACAUUCAGGCAAGGACUUCUUAAACUUGUGUAUGGGGAUGAGCUCUGCAAUUGAAUUCUCAAAGCUCUGUUGCUCCUCUUGCCCAAGAUGAUGUUGCUGCGGUGUUUCAUUGUGGUGGUAUCGCGUGGUCCAGCCAACACGGAUGCAAUGGUACAAUGCAAUAACGAGGGCCAUGCAGGCUGCAGCGACCAAGACGAUGACUAAUUUUGGUAUGAGGGAAUUAGAGUUGUCUUGUGCCAUGGUAGAGGAAUGGUUGGAAAUGAGUGCAUAUCAAAUAGUCAUUGUUGGGUUGAUAAUUAUUAUGUAGUGUUUGUCUUACUAUGUAAAGCCUCUGUAUGCUUUCAUAGUUUUAAUAUGUCUGCUCUUUCACAAAAUGACGACAACAAUUUUGGCGAUUCCGCUUGGAAUUUAGUCUGUACAGGAAGUCAAUUUUCAAUUCCAGAGCGGGAAUUUGAAUUUUAUGAAGUAAUUAACAGAUGUGUCGAAAUAUUCUUUAUUUUACAUAUUAGCUUUCCA